UUUCUGUGGGGGCGGAGCGGCCGGCCGCAACUCGCGGUUCGAGCUAGCGCUUCCCCUACAUCCUGCCGCGAACCGUGCUACCAUUAGUUUGGUGGCGCCGGGGAUCGGCUCGUUUACUUUGAGAAAAAUAGAGUGUUCAAAGCAGGCCACACGCCUUGAAUAAGUUAGCAUGGAAUAAUAAUAAAGGACUUCGGCUCUAUUUUGUUGGUGUUCGGGACUGAAGUAAUGAUUGAUAGGGACAGUUGGGGCGGUCAGUAUUCCAAAGCGAGAGGUGAAAUUCUUAGACCUUCGGAAGACUAACAGCUGCGAAAGCGUUCCGCAAGGAUGUUCCCUUUGAUCAAGAACGAAAGUUGGGGGAUCGAAGACGAUCAGAUACCGUCGUAGUCUCAACUAUAAACUAUACCAGCUAGGGAUCGGCCAACGUUAAAUUAUUCGACUUGGUCGGCACCUUAUGAGAAAUCAAAGCAUCUGGGUUCCGGGGGGAGUAUGGUCGCAAGGCUGAAACUUAAAGGAAUUGACGGAAGGGCACCACCAGCCGUGGAGCCUGUGGCUUAAUUUGACUCAACACGGGAAAACUUACCAGGUCCAGACAUAGUAAGGAUUGACAGAUUGAUAGCUCUUUCUUGAUUCUGUGGGUGGUGGUGCAUGGCCGUUCUUAGUUGGUGGAGUGAUUUGUCUGGUUAAUUCCGUUAACGAACGAGACCCCAGCCUGCUAAAUAGCGCGGUUGAGCUUUGCUCGGCGCGAGCUUCUUAGAGGGACUAUGAUGCGCGAUAGCACAUGGAAGUUUGGGGCAAUAACAGGUCUGUGAUGCCCUUAGAUGUUCUGGGCCGCACACGGGCUACACUGGCGCCUGCAACGAGCAUAUCAGCUGGCCCGAGAGGGUCUUGGCUAAUCUUUUGAACCGGCGCCGUGCUUGGGAUUGACCAUUGCAAUUGUUGGUCAUGCAACGAGGAAUGCCUUGUAAACGCGAGUCAUCAACUCGCAUUGAAUACGUCCCUGCCCUUUGUACACACCGCCCGUCGCUCUACCGAUGAUGUCCGAUGAAAUUUUCG
rnacentral:rRNA from 1 species